rnacentral:rRNA from 1 species
UGGCUAACUCCUACGGGAGGCAGCAGUGGGGAAUUUUGGACAAUGGGCGAAAGCCUGAUCCAGCAAUGCCGCGUGUGUGAAGAAGGCCUUCGGGUUGUAAAGCACUUUUGUCCGGAAAGAAAUGGCUCUGGUUAGUACCCGGAGUCGAUGACGGUACCGGAAGAAUAAGGACCGGCUAACUACGUGCCAGCAGCCGCGGUAAUACGUAGGGUCCAAGCGUUAAUCGGAAUUACUGGGCGUAAAGCGUGCGCAGGCGGUUGUGCAAGACCGAUGUGAAAUCCCCGGGCUUAACCUGGGAAUUGCAUUGGUGACUGCACGGCUAGAGUGUGUCAGAGGGAGGUAGAAUUCCACGUGUAGCAGUGAAAUGCGUAGAGAUGUGGAGGAAUACCGAUGGCGAAGGCAGCCUCCUGGGAUAACACUGACGCUCAUGCACGAAAGCGUGGGGAGCAAACAGGAUUAGAAACCCCGGUAGUCCAGCUGG